rnacentral:lncRNA from 1 species
UCGUGUUUGUAAUUAGUGUGCUGAAUUAUGCUUCGUGUGAGUGUGAACCAUCUAAGUUUUGCCUGUCCAGUGUUUGGUGAUCAUGUGCAAUUUUGGUGUUUGACGAAAUGAGUUAUGUGCUUGAGUCUGCGUGUGCUAGAAUGUCACCUUCAAGAAGCACCUGAAGCUGAAGCUGAAGCACAAGGUCUAUUCUGACGGUUUCCUCUCACCCUGCACCUCCACUGGCAAGGUACCUUCGCUUUCACUACUAAUCUCUGCUAGUGAUGUCCAGCUCAACCUGGUCUGCAAUUUAGUUACCUUUGAUUAGGCUUGGACAUGAUUCGGUUUGAUUGGCUAAUCUGUGUCAAAAUUGCUGGCUAUCGAUUUAUUACCGUUUUCCCCCAUAUUUAGGUUGCUCGAUCGAACUGAACAGCAGCAGCUUGAUGCUGCUUACAAUUUCAUUUUUUCUAUCAUCACGGAUUGUUCUGUUCUGUGCUUCUGGUUGUAAUACUCGCCGUGAUUGAGCUUGUUUUGAGUAGAUUAGUCCAUGCUGUGAUUGAUGGUCGGAUAAUGCCAUAUCAUGACAGUGAGCAGCUGUUGGGAUGCAGGAUUUUGAAGAAUGAUAGAAGUUAUUUGUUCCGGUCAGUCACUGAUUUCAAUGCUUAUUUGGUUGAUGUUGGAGAGCCUGGAGGAGGACAAAAGCCUCUAGAUGAUACUUAUAUUCACAGCCUGAUUAUUGUUUGGUAAUUGGAUUUAUAAGUUCCCUCUGCCGAGGGUAUUCCUUGCUUGUCUUCUUCAUAGUUGUUUUGUUGGUUCAAAUCAUCAGUAGAUGCAAUGUGAUGAAUGUGAAGUUCUUGGGUUUGGUUUGUUAAAAGUCCAAAUGGGUAUAUUUUACUUAUUAUUUGUCUUGGAAAAAAGAGCAUUGCUUGCAUACAAAUACGCAUAGACCCUCCUUUGUGAUGCUUUGCUAGUUGCUCGUGUGGGAAAUUAAAUAUUUGUUCUUUUGCUUGCUUCAAACAGCUACUUGGGUACAGUUCAUGUGUUGAUUGAUUUAGAAUCUAGAUGUAAACAUUUGCAGUUGGUCUACUGUUGCUUUUGUUCAAUGCAACUGAUAUUUUGAAACUCCAUUUUUUUCGUUAAAGUUUUUCCUUUUGUUAACCUUACUUUCAAUUGAUGCAGAGCUUUGGUUGAGUUUCUGGAUAUGAGGUUCAGUAUAAUCCCCCCUAUGAAUUACGAGGUGUGUUUUCCUUUUAGCUACUUAAAUCCUUUCGCAUGGAAUCUACAGUUGUAUUGCCUACAUAACUUUUCAUUUUCUGCAGAUGCUCCUAAUUCCUCAAAAACCGAAAAAGAAACACUGGUUAUUUUAGAAGAAACUGGUCGCUUAUGAUGUUGCAACCUGCCGGAAAUGGGAACCAAAUUAAUACCGUCCCUAUACCCUACAUAUAUAGAUUCUACAUCCCAAAUAGCGCAGCUUGCUUUACAAUGCUUCCUAAUGACUCCUAACGAGCAGCCUUCGUGGACUAAAGUCAUGGAAGAACUGGAAUCAGUAGACACUGGAAUAGAAUGGGAUAGUUAAAUUCACUUAUUAUGUCAUUCUUACUUCAUGUGAUGUAAGUCAAAGUCUGUUGUUCCACACUUUUCCAUUUUUCCCGGGAAUAAUCCUGGGCUUUGAAUGUUCAUUUCUAUUGUACCCAGCAGUUACUAGGAGUUGUCUUCUCUUGUAAGUUCUUUGGAAUAUCCAUGACAUGUAUAUUAAUACAUGCACCGCUUUGUGAAUUGAGAUGUGAUUGUACUUAUGAUUAUGAGAGGAACAGUUCUUUAAGGCUAAUCCUCGAUCUUGUUGGCAAUCUGAGGUCCACAGAAGAAGUCCAUUGCUCUUCAAGAGUCCGAGCUCUUUAAUUUUCUUGCAUGCUUGGGCUUUGAACAUGAGCAAAAGCUCAUUUUGGUUGCCAUCACGAAUGUGUUUAUGUGGUGCUUGCUCUGCAAUCAAUCUCCGGGAAGUGCUAGGCGGUUCAUUCCAUUCUCAUAGUAUUUUUGAGCUAUGAGACAUGGUCAGGGAAAUUGAUGGAGUCAUGUAAGGCAAAGUGCUGCUCAGUUGUCCAUUCAGAAAGAGCAAGAUAUGACUUUGGGUGCUGUCAUGUUGCAGCUAAGACAUGUCUGAUUGUUUUGUGCUAAUAAGAGACAUUUCUUAUCAUAUGCUAGUUUUAGAUAAGACUUUCCAUACGACAUCAUAAAUGACUAAAUUUUAUUUUUAUAUUCUCAUUAACUUAGCCCAUUGGUUAUUGUACUUUCUUCACUGUUUGUAAAUCUGAGGGCCCUAUUAUUUUCGACACUUCUCAUGUAAUUUUUAUUUUUAUUUUUGAACUUGUUGAUAUCUCUUUUACAUCACUCUCAACGCAAAAAUAUAAAAGUUUCCAUCAUUUUGGUUUUUUUUAAACAAAUUUAAAAAAAAAAAAUUGAUUACACUAAAGAACUUUCCAAAUAUAUGUUUAUCAAAUAGUAUUUUCCCAAUGUUACUUCUCAAGUCAUUUUAAAUUGCAAAUUACCAAAUAGUGUUUGCAUUUCACAUAACUCUUUUAGGCUAAGGGCCUUUACAUUAGCCAAAGGCUUUCCCCAAAAGUCAAAGCAAACGCACCCAUAAAUGGGUACUUGAAAUUGAGCUUUAUGCAGACCUUUGUGCUUAAUUGUUGUUGCCCUGCUAUGUGACCCGCUGUUUCGUGUAAAUCAGCGAUAUAGUCGUCGUCAUCAUGGCUGAAGCGCUCUUGGAGAUCCGGCCUCAUGAAGUCAAGUUUAUCUGUGAGUGUAUAUAGUGCUGCGCGUUUGGUUCAUUUUUAUUUUGGAGCUACAUUCAAUUUGCGUUGCUUGCCUCCUGCUUUACUAGGCAAUUAGUGAAGGGGAUGAUAUUUCUUUGUUCUACAAUAAUUUGCUUGAGAAUUUGUGGUUCAACAUCGUAAAUAAUGAUAAAAGAAAUAUCUUAAUAAGAGCUUCAAUGGCGAGUAUGAAUCGGUUAUUAAUCGCCCUGUUUUUCAAAUUCUUUUCCUUGUGUUGUUUUCAAAUUUUUGGCUAGGUUCUUUCUUUUUGCACAGUUUCUAUCCUCGCACCACAAACUCUUAGAGUGCCUUGUGAGGUGAAUUUCUUUCCGGAGAUACAGUAAGUGAGUGUUGUAACCAAAUGACUGAGAAUGAUCGGUAGAGAAAACCAACACGCAAAAUGAGAUUUCGUUGCUGCAUUAUGUCUUGAAAGAAAAUGUAUGAUGGUCCAUUUCAUCACAUCCUACUCUCAUGUCGUGCCUCGUUAAGUUUUUUUAUCUGAAGCCUCUUCUUCAUGUUUAUGCAGUUGAGUUGAGUAAACAAAGCUCAUGCUUGAUUCCGCUACGCAACAAGACUGAUUGGUAUGUUGCUUUCAAGGUGAGGAUUUUUUGCACCUUUUCAUUCACCAUGAUCGUGCUUUACUUUUUUUUAGGUAUGGUGGGCGACCAAUUUUCUUUCAAUUCUGUAUUCUCUUGAUGUAGUUUAAAUUUCAGAGUAGGAUAUCAAUGCAUUAAAAGCUCUCUACUAUGGAAAAACAUUAUGAGCUUUAUACUGGAUAUCCAAAACAUUCCAGGUUAAGUCUACAUCUUUGAAGAAAUACUGUGCGCAAUCAAAUGUAGGCAUCAUCAAGCCAAAUGGAGCAUCUGAUUCAAAAUAGUGCUGCUCAAGUCCAAGGAACAUCAUGUUCACAUACUUAUUAAAGCCACUAACAUACUUGUGAGGAGGGACACGCCUACAGUACCUAAAUCAGCUAAAUAAUUCUUUUGCAAUUUCUUUGCCAUGACAUGUCAAUUGGAUUUUAUUAUUGUUGGGUUACAAACUACUUAAGGUAGAGUCAGUCUAAUUGCAGCAAGGAUCAUCUUUGAAUAAGAUUUUGAAUGCCUACCAUAGUAGCCUAAUAUACAUUGAGACAAAGGAAACCACGAUAGGCCUCACAAGCUAUGUCCUGAUACUUCAAAAGAAUUGGAGUAGGCCUUUCAUCCUAUCUUCUGUUUGAUGUAGUUACCAUGUAAGCACGACAGGUAGCUCCAACUAUCCUGUAGUGCAAAGAUAAGUUUUUGAUACAGGUGAAGAGGACUACUGACAUGGUAGGUUUUGCUGCUAUUUGCUCCAUAAUCUUCCAGGUCAAGAAACUCGAGAAAUUUUCUUUUAAAUUUUCAAAUUGAUAAAGAAAGUGGUAAAUACAUAAAUGAGAGGAAGAUAAAAGCAGUUCUAACCAAUCCAGUGGAAUCACUAUCAAUGCUACCAGAUUAUGGAGACCGGAAGCAAGAUUCAUCUUCCAGGACUACCAUCCCAAAGGAUAUCUCACCUGUUGGAGUCGAAAAUGUGUCACCUUUUCUCAAGGUAUUACUUGCAAAAAACAUCAAUAUGUCACUUUAUUGUCUUUCUGGAUUGAGAUGGCAUUGUAUCUAAUCAAUGUAUCGGGGCUUUGCCACAGCCUUGGCUAGGCUGUAUGUUUAUUUAUUUGUGAAUGGAAAUCAAGUUGCUGCACAUCAUCUAUAUAUUGAUCUACCUUUUUAGCAACUAAAUGCGAGUGUAUGGGAUAUCUUUUUUCUCAUAUUAACUGUACGUGAAUCCAUUUCUAUGUCUCAGGAAAGAUUGGAAAUCAUAGAAUAUGACUUCUGUUCUUACUCUUAUAUUCCAGAAGGAUUGUCUUUUGAUGCCAGGAUCCUGAAGAGUUGGACGUGUCAAGAGGUUUUAAGGAGUUAAAAUCAACACUCAACAAGGUGAUACAAAGUUGAAAGAGGUUAGUUUUCUUCCCUUGGUUGAUUUGAAUUCAGGUCUACUUUCACCAGUCAAAUCACUGGGAGGACGGUUUCCCUUCCACUACACAAGCCACCCUUGAUUGCCCAUUUUAUACAGAUGAGGACAGGAGACAGAAGAGGGGAAGAAUUAUUAAAAGGAAGAAAAGAAAACUUAUAAAAGGCAUAGGUGUUGAGUUGGGAGAAUUGCAAAUCAGUCAUAAAUUUAUUUGUAUGAAUAAUCAAAUAAUGGAAUGGAAAACAUGUUUUCUCUCUCAUAUUCUUGGUUCACUGCUACUACUAACACAUUGGUUCUUAUGAAUAUCUGGUGCUGCAUGUAUUGAAGAUUACAUUUUUGUUUACUGAGUAAAAUGGCACGAAAUUGUUAUUGCCAAGUCAGAGUCGACCCGACUAUCACCAGGGACUACUCGAGUUUGGUACUACUGCUGUUGCUACUGCUAUGUUAGUGUUGUGUCUUGGAGAGGUGGUUAGAGAUAAUUUAGGCUUGCUGACUUGGGGUCUUUCUUGUGAUUUCUCUCGGGUUGUCCGAGUCAUGGCAUAUCCCUUAGCUGAUAUUAUUGUGGUAUCUUUCGUUGUGAACUUGCACUGGAGUUUGAUUUUCUCAUUGUUGGGAUCCGUCGAAAGGAAGAUUCUGUCCUGUAAGAUACUUCCUCGAAGAUUAAGAUUUCACUGCCUUAAAUUAGUUUUUUUGUGUUACAAAACUCUUGAAAUAGUAUAUUUGCAUUAUAUUUACCUCCAAAUUAAUUUUUGUGUAACUAGCCUAACGUGACUCAUGAGAUUAUCUAUUCGGCCCUGUCCCCGAACCAUGGGAAGAAAAAUACAGGAAUUUUGGAGAAAAAGAUGGGAUUUUUUUUGAGCGAAACAUGUUAGCCAAUCUACAUAAGUUACACUAGACCAAAAAAUUAGAGUCUCCGAGAAGUUAUCAAAUGCGCCAUCGUUGCGGUGCUAAUCGGAGAUUAUCUCUUCGGAUCGGGCUGCCCUCAGGGGGAGAAGAGGCCGAUUGGCGAUCUUAAGAUUCUGUUUUCAUUCUUGCAUACAAUGAAAUCACUGCUAAAGGAUGAAAGGUAACAAAACUCGGAUCAGAUUUUGCUUAACGGAAACAACAUAGCUAUUGUAAGAAACAACUUCUUCCUUCUGCUGGUAAUUAUAUUGCUAUAUGUUUGAGCCCUUGCCUUGAUAAGGGCAUGGUCUUGCCUAAAGUUUUGGUAAUCUAUCAACUAGUAAGCAAUUGCCUUAACCAAACAGAAACAAUCAGCCGCUCUGAGAGAUUCCUUCUGAUAAGACUCAUAAUGCUUAGACAAUGUAUUGAUGAAUCAUGACUGGUCUUGAAUUUGUGAUUAAAAGGUCAUCAUCGCCUAUUCUUUACAAUCUGGUCCUUUGUCUCAAUCAACCUUUUGUCCACCUCUUGAUAAAUAUAAAGCACAAGUGGUGUGGCAAUUAUGUUACCGAAAAGCUAGAAUUCUGCUUUCCAGUGCUUGAACCACUUAAGUGACGAUGCCUUGCUUUUGUCUUACUGCAGUUAGCUGGUGUCUCCCCUGAUCCAGAAUGAGUUGGGUUCAUCCUCUAACCCCAGUGGUUGAUUAUGUAGUUACUUUUAGUUGUUGGAAGCCCCAUCAGCAACAUCAUUUGAUUUUAUAACCCUCUUUUUAUGGGUUUAUGAAUCUGCAACCUUAGUCAAUUGAGCUCUUAUUUGAUUGAGCUCAUGUGUGAAUGUCUGAUGCAAUUAGCUCAACAGAUGGUGCAUGAUCACAUCAUCCUAUUAUCCAAUAUCUAUCUUUUGCUCAACUAGAGGGUGUGACAGUUGUUGUCAUGCUUGGUGCAUAUUGUUCCUAGGUUCCAGUGCAUUGUUAUUGAAGAACCUAUCUUGGCUUGUUUUAGUGUUCUUCUGUAUUUGCCCCGCCGUUGACUGCAUAAUAAUAUCUGUAUUUCCCCCCACAGAAUAUGGUAUCUUCUUGGUGGCCUGCUAUUUGACUACCCUCUCUGUUUUAUAGUACAUUCUCAACGUAAAUGCAGAAGGGUGUGUUCCCAAUAUCCACUUUGUAAAAGAUCAAAGAAUUCCACUUAUGUACUUGUUGCUCUUUGCUUGAAAAAAUUCUACUUCAUUAUGCAGUAUGGUUCUGGUACCGAGACAUCAGGCCAAAGAUGUGCACUGUACUGCAUACAGCUAGAUGAAUAAUGGACGUAUUUUGCUCCAAGAGAUUUCAAUUUUCCACCCAAGUAGCUGUAGUUGCUGCAUGUUGCGAAAAGAUCCAUGCCCAAAGCGAACUCACUUGUUUUGACCAUGCCCGGUUUUUUGUCGUUCAUGCUUUCAAAGUGGUUGGCUAUUUGGGUGGAGUGCUGUUUCUUGUUUUUGCGGUAGUGACAUUCAUCGGAGUUUUCUAGAGGUUUUCAAUCUGCUGAAAGAGUGGGCUCCGAGCUCGUGAGGUGUGAUAUUGGUUGCGGACUUUGGUUAGAGCGACAAGAUCUAAAUAGGCUGGAAAUAAGGUGCUGAAGAUUCACCAUAGGCCUCUUCUUUAUCGCUUGUUUUCGUGUAUAUUCACAGCUGCAAACGAGCUUUGACUUGAGGCAUGUGAAAUGAAGAGUAAAUGCUGAGAACCUUGUCUAGGCAUUGGUGCAAUUUUCUUAUUUGAAGCUUUAUUGGCCAUCGAAUCUCAUCAUCAUGAACAAGUUUGCAGUUUCAUUCCGAUUUUGAUUAGUUCGAACACAUGGUCCAAGAUUCUUAUAAAUGCUAUGUAACAGAAUUCUCCAAGUUGGAUCCAAAGUUACAUACAUAACCCAAAGUUACAUACAUAACAUGAUGUUUUUGUUCUGAGAUACUAAUACUAAAAGACAGCUUGUUCUGAGUAUGUCGAUACUUUCCGGUGACUAGUAUGGUUCUUUUUCAUUCUUUUACCCCUUUCACCGUAACACAUGGUGCUACAACAAUCGUACCCUUCAAGAACAACGUAGGUUGGGCUUGGGAGAAUCUGCUAGAAGCUCAGGCUAUCAGAGAAGCUGUAAAUCCUUGGAGAAAUCAUGAUGCAGAAGCAAAAAAGAAUUCAUAGUGCCACCAUUGUUGAGUUUGUACCUGGUAUGAUUUCUUCUCGAACGCUCUCAUUCAACAAGGAGAGAACUUUCUGUAAACCAUGCUCUUGAUGGAGAAGUUUGAUAACAUUCAAAACAAAUAGGUCUAGGUGGUGGAGCUAUUUUGCUCAACUCCUUUUAGUUAAUGUGUAAUCCAUGUAUUUAUGAGACAUUUUGGCAAUAGGUCUUAAUGCCUCUGGCUAUUAGACUUGUGCAUUGUAAUUGAUGGGAUGAUCACACAUUAGUUUAUUGGAUUAUGUUUUACUCCUUUUGCCCUUAUAAGUUGGCAAAGAGUACCUAAAAUUGGAUGACCAUAUGUACUGAUGCUGGAAGCUGUGAGUGAACUUUUAAACAACUGAGAUCGUGUUUUGGAUGCUUGAAUAUUGUCUGCAGUACGCCAGACACAUAUCUGCUCAUCGCUCCUCUGUCCUGGAAUGAAUUUGGAAUAUCCUGAAAUGUUUUGAGGCGAUUUUGUAUUUGGCUGCUUGGCAAUUAAUCUCCUGUUCAGUGAGUGAGAUUUCCUGUAUGUGAGUUUUGGAAAUUAUACGUUUUCUUGGCAUUGUUCAGUAUGCGCUUCCCUGAUCAUCGUCCAAUGGUCUGUUAAGAGUUGGCUGCUUGCUUGUCGCAUAUGGUGACAUGGAUUGCAUUCUUUUUUUUUUUUUUUGGGCUUCCAGAACUCAGUAUCUUUCAUGUGCUUUAUAGAUAUGAACGACCGGAGUUCGGACUCUGUCAUGUGCAUUUCUCUCCGCAGUUUUAUUUAUUUUGCGUGGUGUUGGAUUGGGAAUAUUCGUGUAGGAAAUUUUUUUAUGUCUGAAUGGCAAAUUUACUAUCAUUUACUACUGGGGCCGAAUUUUCCUCAAGAAUAUCAAAGCAGCGGUUCUAUGCAAUCAGGCUAGUAAACGUAAUUACUCAGGAAUGAAUAGUGAAGAGCUCGUUACUUUGUUGAGUUUCUUGUUCUUGUUAUUCUUUUUAACUCAAGCAAUUGUUUAGGUCAAGAAUGUGAUGCCUUUAGAUGAUUCAGAAUUAACACUUAAAGAACCAGGACUCACAGAAAAUUUCAUUUCGCAGCAUUGGUCAAUGACCAAUCUUAAUUGAGCUGAUAUGUAGACUUUAUUUGGUGUGCAAAAGCUGAUGAAUGGUGUAAUUUGAUUAUAUCCUAUCUCUCACAUAAUGACCAAUCUUAAUUGAGCUGAUAUGUAGACUUUAUUUGAUGUGCAAAAGCUGAUGAAUGGUAUAAUUUGAUUAUAUCCUAUCACCUCACAAAUGUGAGAAAAGUUGUGACGAAAAAGGGUUUUGAUUAGAUAAUGUGAUUACAUCCUAUCACUAUUCUUUCACAUUCAGAUCGAUUUAAAAUUGUCUCUUUUCUACUAAUCAUGUGAAGCAACUAGUGUGUUGCAAGAAGAGAAUUUAUGAUUAGAUGCUACUGAUCAUUCGGAUAGCCGGCUUCUGGGGCAAGGAAGUUUGCUUAAGAGGGGAGAAAUAGGAAGGUCGCUAUAAUUAUUUAAUGUGAGGUUAUGCUAUUUUGUGGAAAGAGUAAGAUCAAAAUCAAUCAAAGUGACAUUAUGGACUUGCCUUUGCUGCUUAAUCGUACAUAGCCCCAAUAGUUUGUGACAAAAUUUGCCUGUAUCGCUUCUGUCAAUCUUAUACAAUUAGCAUCUUCUAAUCUACGACAACUUAGUCCGAUGUUUUGCGUUGAAUAGCGGCAACAUACGCUUUACUUGGGAUACUUGGUGAGUACACUCGUGGCUGAAAUGCCAUUAUCACGUGUUGCCUAUUGAGCGUUUUGGGCUAGGCAGAAACAGUUGGAAAACCUGCGGGAUCGACAUCUGAUAUAGUGUCUGGAUUGUUCAAGUAUGACUAAGCCAUCUCGCGGUUCAUAAUUGCAAUUUAGAAUCGAAAACUAAGUGGUAAUCCCAUCUUUUUAGCCAUUGAACAACUUGAGUCCUGUCAUAUGUCCCGAUCCCUGAAUCUUUUGGGAGCCAUUGAAUCCAAAGGAGAGGGUCUGAAGAACCAAAGAGGGACAAGUUAACAAAAGCAACUUUAUUUGUACGAGAUUUCGACAAAACACAAAUUAGCUUGAUCAGUGGCUAAGUAGCAUCGACACACAACAGUCUUAUUAUAACUUCAUGACGGUGUUUAAUUGAAAAAGCGAACGGGAUUAUCCUUCACCAUCGUGCUCCGACGAAGAAACAUGUUAAAGAGAAGACCUCUCUCCGAGGGACGUGUACACGUGGUGCGUUUAACAAGAAUUAGCUUCGACCAAGCCCUGAGCUGCUGCGCUCAUCACAUUGAGGAGCCCCUCGCCAGCCAUGGUAUUAUAAUCGGUAGGUCUCUCGCGCCCUCAGAAUCGUGCCCGCAUGACAUAACCAUUUUUCAGUUGAUCAACGUGGUCCGGAUACGAGGACAACCGGCCAUCAGAUUCAGGAUAGCACCUGAUCGCAACUGAUUUUUUUUCUAUGGAACUUUGUUAUUAGUGAUCAAAGAGAAAAAAGCACAAGAUAGCUAUACUGGGUUUUCUCUGCAGUAAGCCAAAAAGAAUGUGAAGUAGAUUUGGAGGGGAAACUAAAUCAAGAACGAUGCCAAGAGAACAUAUAAAUUCCAGAAUCUGCAUACAGGAAAAUCUCACUCGCCGAGCGGGAAAUUAAUUGCCGAGCAGCCAAAGACAGAAAUUGCAUCAGCACAUUUCAGGAUGUUCCAAAUUCAUUCCAGGACAGAGAUGGCAGACGCACAGAUGCAGUCUGGCGUAAUUUUAAAUUUUAUUUUUCCUGCAGACAAAGUUCAAGCAUCAAGAAUACGAUCUGUGUGUUUAGAAGUUCACAUCUUCAUCUCACACUCAUCCAGCUUACAGUAUCAUGUAUAGUUGUCCGAGUUUAAAUGCUCUUUGCCGACAUAUAAAGGCAAAAAAGAUUAAAUAAAUUCAAAUAAAACUAAUGUUUGAUCAUCCUGUCAAUCACCCCUCGGUCAUUCAAAAAGAAAGCCACAAAUUGGGCGAACGUAAUGGUCAAAAUAAGCUUGUGCACCAGAAAGGCUGACCACCAGUAGUACCACAAUGUCUAAUAGCCAGAAUUCUUAAGACCCGUUGCCAAAAUGUUGCAUGAAAAACUUCGUUUGCACACUAAAGCAGUUAACCAAGAUUACUCAACCACGUAGAUGUAUUUUUUCUAUAUGUUAUCAGACUUUUUCAUCAAGAACAUCGUUGAACGAAAGGUCUAGUGAUGUGCAACAAGAGCAGUCGAGAAAAAAAUCAUACCAGGAAUAACUCAACAAUGGCAGCACUAUGAGUUCUUUUUGCUUUCUGCAUCACGAUUCCUCCAAGGAUUCAGAGCUUCUCUGACAGCCUGAGCUUCCGGCGAAUUCUCCCAAGCCCGCUUCUCUGACUCCAAUUCGGUCACUUUAUCAUCUGCAACAUACAACCAGAUUAAUAUUUCUUGGUUAAUACAGAAAGACAGACCCUUUGGUAGUAAAAUAAGCAACCAAUGGCAUGGGAAAGAAUCUGAUAAUCUUCGUCAUGAAGAUGCUCACGAGAGUAUAGGUAGUUAUGAAGGCAAGGCAACCAAACAACAUUCUCACAAUCUUUAGUCUAUACCAAAGUCCAUUCAGAAAGAUGCAAGUGAUGAAAGCUCAUCAGUCUUCAAUAAGAUCACAAAGGAACUGCAAUUUCAACGGGACUACAAAUCACUUCAUCUAAUUGUGUUCCUACAGAAAUUUUUACUCUUUGAUUAUACCCUGAAAGAUAUGAAAUAGCUGCAGAACAAUCCGCUUAAUGUUUUCCCGAGAUGUGCAUCACAGUCAUAAGUUCAAUUUUAAAACCAGUCUCCUCAACGACUUUUCAGAAGUUUCUCCCACAGAAGGUAUCAAUGAACAGAUGAUUAGCUGCACAAGCCAUCUAUUCUCCACAGACUGGAACACUUCGCAUUCAUAGGUAUCGCCAUUCAUCACCUGAGACAACAUUUUUUCGCAUCAUGCUUUUCGUGUAGAACAAUGAGAAUGUUCAGUUCAUCGGCAUAACACGACGGUCCAAAUCAAAGCCCUCCUCUUUCACAAGCAAGCGACUGCAACAUACCAAGCGACUACGACAUACCACUGAAAUCAUGAAUUUCCGUCCUACCCCCAACUUCAGUCACAAAGGAACUGACUAAACGAUGCUUUUCUCAUCCGAAGAGACGAAUUUGAACACGACCCAUCACCGUAAAAUCCACUCCCAUUCGACUAACGCAAUAGCUGUCGCACUAGCAUCGCUCGCGAGCUCUAAAGCAAGGUUCAUUAGAUAAAAAUUGACUCCAACUGCUUAAUAGUGCCUAAAAACCAUCCAUUUCGAAGUUAUCUCGCGCCAUUUUCUUUUGGGGUACGAGCUACCCAAAAGAGAAGCGGUAAAAGUCGAAACGAAAGGAAUUGGCAGGAACGGGCGAAGGCGGAGCAAGAAAGGGAUGGAGUGUCCUCACACAGAAGCCGGUCUUGAUCAUGAACAACUCCAUGGAGCCUCCGACGAGGGCCGAGAAGACCCCGAUCUUCACGUACCAAUCAAGAAACUUCACCGCCAUAUCGAAAGUUGCCGCUCAAGCUUCCGCGGCAGCGGCUGGAAGACGGGAAAACGAAAGAAGGGUCUGUAAGAAAGAGGAGAAGGAAUAGGUAACUUCACGUGGAGAGAGGAGAUCCAUCGAGGCCCAUCAUCGGCCAACGCAGCCCGAACAUUUCCCCUCUAAAGAAAGCUUUUUUAGCUGUUGGGUCCAAGAAACUUGGGCCUUUGGCCACUUUUAGUGCUGCUCGUUGCAUCAAGAUACAAUCUUUUCGUCUUCUCUUCUCGUUGCGUAAACGAGGGCGGAUGCUUUGUUACAGAGUGCGUUUGGUUCAGCAUUUUGAAAGCUCGGAGAAAUACAAAACAGUUUAGCCUAAGGGGCUUUGGACAAAUACAAAGACUAUUUGGUAAAUUACGCUUUGAAAAGCAACUUUGAAACAAAUGCUGUUUGGUAAAAAAACACAUUUAGAAAGCCCAUUUGAGUGAUUAAUAUUAGCUUUUUAGUUUUUAUAUGUUUAAAAUUGACAAAAAUAAUGCAUGCAACUUCUUUUAAUUUGAAUUUUGACGACAGUGCUAAAAAAUAUCAAAUGGAAAAAAUUCACAUCAAAGUUGUCUCUUUCUUAAUUUAAAAAAAAAAAAAACCUUUAUUAUAAUAAACGGAAUAACAUCUGCCCCGAGGAAAUAAAUUUAUUAUUCUUUAAAAUUACAAACAUCCUUAAAUAUUUCCUAAACUUAGAGCCAUUUGAUCAAGCUAGAAUACUAUGUACAACAAACCUUGAUACAACACAGUUUCUCAAAUAUCUAUUCUCUGUUUACAUGCAAAGUCUACAUAAAAGUUCAAAUGCUCCUAUCAUAGAUAGAAUUAAAGGUCAUUGUAGCACAUAAGCUGCCAUGUUUUUUGACCACAAAGAUGACUUGUCUGGCCUGCUUGACUCCCCAGAUGAAGUGGAGGAUGAAUCCUUUGAGUGACCUUUGAGACCUUCAUCAGCAAUUAGAUCCAUCAAUUUUGAAAGUGACAAGGUGUCGAUAUUUCACUAUCAUUAACCUCAGCUAAGCUCAUUAGCAUCUUCACGACAGUCAACAUGGAUGUUUGAAGCCCUGGUAUACCCUGUGUUCAGAGAAGACCAAUCUUCAUGAAUAGGCAUGCCUCUUACCUAUGAUGUUCCCCAUCCAGAGAUGUAUCACUAAGAUCAUUAGCUCCCCUUUCUUGUGCAACUUCCAUGCCCAUAACACAUUGUACAUGUAGAUCAAGAGAUACAAGCAUUUGCAGCAUCACAACUGAACUUCUAAGCCAACAAGAGCAAGAAAGUCUCCAAACCCCAAGCCUAUCUGUCCACAUAAUCCCCCGUUAAACACAUAACCGAUUUUCACAAGAAAGACCCUCCUUAACAGGAACAAAACACUGUGAAGUUGCCCAUGAACAUCCAGGUUGCAUAACAUAACACAAAAUUGACAUGUAUUCUUUAUACCCAUUCAUUGCCCACUCAUUCUAGCAAGUAUCAGCUAUAUGAAUAAACAUCCAUGUUGCAAAACAGAACACAAAAAACCAGUGCAUAACUCGUAACUGGCACGUAUGACUUUGAUAGCAAAAAAUUUGUUGCAACAUAAUACAAACUGGGAUGCUAGAUUAAGCAUACAUAUAGCACCAAAUAAGGAGCAGAUCAGGGCAUCAACAAAUUUGGGCAGCAUGAGUUAAAGAACCUACUGUAAACAGGUGAAUGAACACCCCAAAGCAGGAAUGGGAUUAUGAUGGAUAGCAAUUAAAUGAAGUUCCAUAAGGUCAUUCCGCAUCCACGCAUCACUCAAUGCACUCACCCCUCCAGUCAAACUCUCCAGGAACUCAAUCUUCUUCUCGAUCGAGAGCCCCCGAGACUUGGCAUUCUCGCCUGGUGGGGAUAUCAAACAGAACAAAGAGAGAGAGACAACAGUCAGCAAAAAAUGCCGCGCCGACAUCGACCCCAGCGACGACCCCGACCCCGAUCCCGACGACGCCGUUGACGAGACCGACGCGCGCGUCGGAUCCUCGACGCCGGCGUGGCCUGGAUCCUCCGCGGUGCCAUACACAAGCGCGAGGUGGAAGCUCUCGGACGUCCGGUUCCAUCCCAUCCAAGACAUUCCCGAUCGGGGAUCCGCCGACCUCGCGCGCCGCUCACCGGCCUCUCACCGGCCUCUCGGUCGAUCGAUCGCGGCGGUCGUCUUCGUCGGCGGCGGAUCGGAGGAUGGCAGUCGAGCUCGCAGUGAGAGAGCGAUGGGGAAGGGUGGAGAGAGAAGGCGAUCUGGGGUUUUAGUUUCGAAAUGGGUAAAAUUGGUUUUUCAAUAAAGCUUUGAAGGUAAAAUAGGUAACCUACUAAUUUUCAUCAAAUGAACCCUUCAUCCUUCCGAAAAGCUUUGAGUAUUCCAAUUGCUGGCUUUCAUUUGAAAGCUCUUUGGGGAUGAUUGUCAAACGCCCCAAAUCUUCUCUAAUGGGCUUUGGGGCUCCAAGGGGCUUUUUAAAUGUCGAACCAAACGCACCCUGGAACUUCGUCUCGUGCAGUUCUGCUGCAUGUCGUGCUGUGGAUGGCUAGGAAUCAUACCUUCUAAGGGAGAAACCGAUACGGCAAAAGCUCGUCACGGCAUGCAUAUGCUCUUCUAGGAGUAUUUCCACCUGGCA